UACGUAGGGUGCGAGCGUUGUCCGGAAUUAUUGGGCGUAAAGAGCUCGUAGGCGGUUUGUCGCGUCGGCCGUGAAAACUUGGGGCUUAACCCCAAGCUUGCGGUCGAUACGGGCAGACUUGAGUUCGGCAGGGGAGACUGGAAUUCCAGGUGUAGCGGUGAAAUGCGUAGAUAUCUGGAGGAAUACCGGUGGCGAAGGCGGCAUCCUGGACCAUUACUGACGCUGAGGCGCGAAAGCUAGGGGAGCAAACGGG
rnacentral:rRNA from 1 species